UCCCUGGUGGAUUAGUUGCUAGCAUGUGACGAUGUCCUCGCCAUGGCCUGGGUUCGAUUCCAGGUCAGGGAA